rnacentral:rRNA from 1 species
GACGAACGCUGGCGGCGUGCUUAACACAUGCCAGUCGAACGGAAAGGCCCUGCUUUUGUGGGGUGCUCGAGUGGCGAACGGGUGAGUAACACGUGAGUAACCUGCCCUUGACUUUGGGAUAACUUCAGGAAACUGGGGCUAAUACCGGAUAGGAGCUCCUGCUGCAUGGUGGGGGUUGGAAAGUUUCGGCGGUUGGGGAUGGACUCGCGGCUUAUCAGCUUGUUGGUGGGGUAGUGGCUUACCAAGGCUUUGACGGGUAGCCGGCCUGAGAGGGUGACCGGCCACAUUGGGACUAGAGAACGGCCCAGGCUCCUACGGGAGGCAACAGUGGGGGAUUUUGCACAAUGGGCGGAAGGCUGAUGCAGCAACCCCGCGUGCGGGAUGACGGGCUUCGGGGUGUAAACCGCUUUCGCCUGUGACGAAGCGUGAGUGAAGGUAAUGGGUAAAGAAGCACCGGCUAACUACGUG